rnacentral:tRNA from 1 species
UCCUCACUGGCUUAGUGGUAAAGAAUCUGCCUGCAAUGCAGGAGAUGCGGGUUCAGUCCCUGGGUCAGGAA